rnacentral:misc_RNA from 1 species
GAUGAAGAACGUAGCAAAAUGCGAUAAGUAAUGUGAAUUGCAGAAUUCAGUGAAUCAUCGAAUCUUUGAACGCACAUUGCGCCCGCCAGUAUUCUGCGGGCAUGCCUGUUCGAGCGUCAUUUCAACCCUCAAGCACAGCUUGGUGUUGGGACUCGCGUUAAUUCGCGUUCCCCAAAUUGAUUGGCGGUCACGUCGAGCUUCCAUAGCGUAGUAGUAAAACCCUCGUUACUGGUAAUCGUCGCGGCCACGCCGUUAAACCCCAACUUCUGAAUGUUGACCUCGGAUCAGGUAGGAAUACCCGCUGAACUUAAGCAUAUCAAUAAGCGGAGGA